GACAGAGGGUGCAAACGUUGUUCGGAAUCACUGGGCGUAAAGCGCGUGUAGGCGGCCAGACAAGUCGGGUGUGAAAGCCCACGGCUCAACCGUGGAAGGGCACUCGAAACUGCUUGGCUAGAGUCCUGGAGAGGAAGGUGGAAUACUCGGUGUAGAGGUGAAAUUCGUAGAUAUCGAGUGGAACACCGGUGGCGAAGGCGGCCUUCUGGACAGUGACUGACGCUGAGACGCGAAAGCGUGGGGAGCAAACAGG
rnacentral:rRNA from 2 species